AACGAACGCUGGCGGCAGGCCUAACACAUGCAAGUCGAACGAGAAAGUCCUUCGGGAUGAGUACAGUGGCGCACGGGUGAGUAACGCGUGGGAAUGUACCCUUUAGUACGGAAUAACCCCGGGAAACUGGGAUUAAUACCGUAUACGCCCUUCGGGGGAAAGAUUUAUCGCUAAAGGAUCAGCCCGCGUAAGAUUAGAUAGUUGGUGGGGUAAUGGCCUACCAAGUCUACGAUAUUUAGCUGGUCUGAGAGGAUGAUCAGCCACACCGGAACUGAGACACGGUCCAGACUCCUACGGGAGGCAGCAGUGGGGAAUAUUGGACAAUGGGCGAAAGCCUGAUCCAGCCAUGCCGCGUGAGUGAUAAGGCCUUAGGGUUGUAAAACUCUUUCGUCGGUGAAGAUAAUGACGGUAACCGAAAAAGAAGCCCCGGCUAACUUCGCGCCAGCCGCCGCGGUAC
rnacentral:rRNA from 1 species